rnacentral:tRNA from 1 species
GUGGUGGCUCAGUGGUAGAGUGCUCGCCUAGCAUGCAUGAGGCACAGGGUUCAAUCCUCGGCACCACA